rnacentral:rRNA from 1 species
UAAUGGCAGGUCAGCAUACUGCCGUGAAUACGUUCCCGGGCCCUUGUACACACCGCCCGUCACACCAUGAGAGUUGGGAAUACCCGAAGCCUGUGAGCUAACGUAAGAGGCAGCAGUCGAAGGUAGAAUCAAUGAUUGGGGUGAAGUCGUAACAAGGUAGC